CCCCUCCCAGGCUCGCACCUGGAGAAUUUCCAUUACUCUACCAGUCUCAGCUAUGGGAGGGAGAGUCAAGCAGAAGCCAAUCUAUUCCAUUCCUAGCUUGGGGAGUGGCUAGCGAAUGGAAGGCAAUCUGCUACAGGU